GACGAACGCUGGCGGCGUGCCUAACACAUGCAAGUCGAGCGGGAACCUCAGGAGGGGUAACCCUUCUGAGGGGAGAGCGGCGAACGGGUGAGUAACACGUGGGCAACCUGCCCCGGACACCGGGAUAACCCAGGGAAACCUGAGCUAAUACCGGAUACUCCGGCGCGAUCGCAUGGUCGUGCCGGGAAAGCUCCGACGGUCCGGGAUGGGCCCGCGGCCUAUCAGCUUGUUGGUGGGGUAACGGCCCACCAAGGCGACGACGGGUAGCUGGUCUGAGAGGACGGCCAGCCACACUGGGACUGAGACACGGCCCAGACUCCCACGGGAGGCAGCAGUGGGGAUCUUGCGCUAAUGCGCGAAAGCGUGACGCAGCGACGCCGCGUGGGGAUGAAGGCC
rnacentral:rRNA from 1 species